rnacentral:rRNA from 1 species
GACGAACGCUGGCGGCGUGCCUAACACAUGCAAGUCGAACGAGAUCCAUGGGAGCUUGCUCCCGGAAGAUCUAGUGGCGAACGGGUGAGUAACACGUGAGAAACCUGCCCUGGAGUGGGGAAUAACUCGGGGAAACUCGAGCUAAUACCGCAUACCCUCGGAUGGUCGCAUGGCCGACCGAGGAAAGAUUUAUCGCUCUAGGAGGGUCUCGCGGCCUAUCAGCUAGUUGGUGGGGUAACGGCCUACCAAGGCAACGACGGGUAGCUGGUUUGAGAGAACGAUCAGCCACACUGGGACUGAGACACGGCCCAGACUCCUACGGGAGGCAGCAGUGGGGAAUCUUGCGCAAAUGGGGCGAAAGCCUGACGCAGCAACGCCGCGUGCGGGAUGACGGCCUUCGUGGUUGUAAACCGCUUUCAGCAGGGACGAAAAUAGACGGUAACCUGCAGAAGAAAGACCCCGGGCCUAACCUAACGUGCCAGCAGCCGCGG